CCCCACCUAGGAGCUGAUGCUGAUGGUUGAUGCUGAAAGCCAGCGGCAGCGGCGGUUCUGUCCGUGUUGUUCGGGCGUCAGGGAGAGGGAGCCGGCCAUCCACGAAAACGAAGGGGUAAGUGAUUUGGUUGGGCCGGUCUGUCGAUGGAGUGGGCUAUUUUUGUUGGGCCGGUCCAUCGAUGGAGUGGGCUAUUUUUCUACAGGACCAUACAUCGAUCCAGUGCCCAGCCAGCCAACCAGGCCAGGCAUCGAGUAGCAGUUCCCCGUUCCCCCCUCCAUCGAUCCAGCCAUCCAGGUAUCCAGCGCCGCCGCCAGCAGUUCCCGGGCACAGGGGUCGGCAGCUUGCAGGUCGGGCCAACGCCUAGCGGCGGGGGCCGUGGGGGGGGGCUCGAGGCGGACGGUGGCGUGGCAGUAGUUUCAGCGGCCAGAGUACAGAGGUGGAUUUGGGGGCGGCCGGCGGCGGGGCACUAGCUUCAGAAGCCAGAGGUAGAGGUGGAUUUGGGGGCGGCCUGCGGCGGGGAACUGGUGGCGGCCGGCGGCGGGGCAGUAUCUGCCCUACUGAUUUGAGUGCUCGUGAUUGAUUUGGAUGAGGGGGUGGAUUGGGUGGCCGCAGGGAUAGCAGUUGUUGUCGAAGUCGAAGAAGCCGAUGCCGAGGUUGCUUCUGUCGAAGAGGCAGUAGCUUCAGUGGCCAGAUCAACCAAACGGAAACGACCAACUGACUCCAACAACUACCAACAUGUAUCCUCUUCUAGUCUUUUUGUAUCUUUUGAUAUGUUAGUUAGAAUCAGGCGACCAACGGUAACAUGACACUCAUUUUUUAUGCCAUUUGAUGGUGUAGGGCAUUCCUCUGUCAUUUAAUUUGGCUGAUUUGGAUUCUGAUCCUAGCACACGUAAGCAAAUUGAAUAUUAUGUAACUCCAGAAACUAGAGAUGAAAUGAGAAGGGCAUAUUUGUCGAAAAGUGUGGGGCAUUUGUAUGGUCAUGAUUUUCCUCGUACUCGUUUUGGGAAAGAUCUGCGGAGGAGCUCAUUUGCAUGCCUUGAUGAGCCGUCGAGGUCAUCUACCUCCACAAGCCCAUGUUCAUUAUGCAAUUACAUCUUAAAGGUCUCCUUUGGAUAUUGGAAUUAUGGGAUCAUAUUUUGGCAUAAGUGAGCAUUUCAAGCGACAAGAGUCAGUUUACUAGUUUUUAGGAGCUUUUUAAUUUUUUUGUUGUUGAAUGCCACGAGUUUUGAUUAAAUAGAGUUGCAUUUGUUUCGGAAAAAAAUUAGACAUUAAAUGUUCGCCCCAGCUAACUUCAAUUCUUGGGUCCGCCACUGUAUGAUAACAUACCUUCAUUGAUACUAGGAUUAGCCCUAAUCACGGGGAGGUGAAAGGUGCUUCUAAAAUCUUGCUUGAAAGCAUCAAUGGAGCAUUGUUUAUUCUCAAAUAUCUUGUCAUUCCUUUGGUUCCAUAUGGACCACCACCCAAUAAUAAGGAUUUCCAUGAAAAUAUCC